AACGAACGCUGGCGGCAGGCCUAACACAUGCAAGUCGAGCGAGGACUUCGGUCCUAGCGGCGGACGGGUGAGUAACGCGUGGGAACGUGCCCUUUGCUUCGGAAUAGCCCUGGGAAACUGGGAGUAAUACCGGAUGAGCCCUUUGGGGGAAAGAUUUAUCGGCGAAGGAUCGGCCCGCGUUGGAUUAGGUAGUUGGUGGGGUAAUGGCCUACCAAGCCGACGAUCCAUAGCUGGUUUGAGAGGGUGAUCAGCCACACUGGGACUGAGACACGGCCCAGACUCCUACGGGAGGCAGCAGUGGGGAAUCUUAGACAAUGGGGGAAACCAUGAUCUAGCCAUGCCGCGUGAGCGAUGAAGGCCUUAGGGUUGUAAAGCUCUUUCAGCUGGGAAGAUAAUGACGGUACCAGCAGAAGAAGCCCCGGCUAACUCCGUG
rnacentral:rRNA from 1 species